rnacentral:lncRNA from 1 species
GCCCAAAGUGAUAUGGUAUUGCAUUAUUUUCUAUGGUUAUUAAGUGUUGUGUGUGGUUAGUAGUACCCUUGAGUUGCUAAAUGGGAAGAAGUAUAGUUAUAUAGUAUAUGGUGUUUUUAAUAGCUAAGUUAAGGAGUUAUGGAUAGGUGAUGUUGAGUUUUUUGGGAUGAUUUUGAUUCUCAUGGUUUAGGGAAAAAAU